GACUGGGUGGGCGUGGCUAUGGAACCAUUUGACUGGGGGAAUCAAAAGACAGAAACUCACUAACGAUGUCCUGCUGGGGCAGGGUUGGACUAGAUGACCUCCAGGUCCCUUCCAGCCCUGGAUUAUCCUCUGAUGCUGUGUCUAGUGCCAGGUCUAAAAUAAUCUUCCUAAUAGAAAAUGCUGGCUGAGGAUAAAUGGGCGAAGAAGUUCAUUACGUCUGAAGAAUCACAUCAUUAAAGAAUUACAUUUUGAUGCGACACUCCACAAACCAGUUAACGAUACCCGAAAGCAAUGCUAUAUAUCUCCCUCACUUGCAAGCACU